rnacentral:rRNA from 1 species
AGUGAACGCUGGCGGUAGGCCUAACACAUGCAAGUCGAACGGCAGCACAGUAAGAGCUUGCUCUUACGGGUGGGGAGUGGGGGACGGGUGAGGAAUACAUCGGAAUCUACUUUUUCGUGGGGGAUAACGUAGGGAAACUUACGCUAAUACAGCAUACGACCUACGGGUGAGAGCAGGGGAUCUUCGGACCUUGCGCGAGUGAAUGAGCGGAUGUCGGAUUAGCUAGUUGGCGGGGUAAAGGCCCACCAAGGCGACGAUCCGUAGCUGGUCUGAGAGGAUGAUAGCCCACAUGGGAACUUGGACACGGUCCAGGCUACUACGGGAGGCAGCAGUGUGGAAUAUUGGACAAUGGGCGCAAGCCUUAUCCAGCCAGACCGCGUGGGUGAAGAAGGCCUUCGGGUUGUAAAGCCCUUUUGUUGGGAAAGAAAAGCAUCAGGUUAAGACCCCGCUGUUCUGACGGUACCCAAAGAAUAAGCACCGGCUAACUUCGUG